GGAGGCUAGGUGGCUCAGCAGUUGAGCAUCUGCUUUGGAUCGAGAAGGCCACAGGUUCAAUCCCUGUUAUCUCCA